GAGCGGCGGACGGGUGAGUAACGCGUGGGAAUAUGCCCUUCUCUAAGGAAUAGCCUCGGGAAACUGAGAGUAAUACCUUAUACGCCCUACGGGGGAAAGAUUUAUCGGAGAAGGAUUAGCCCGCGUUAGAUUAGGUAGUUGGUGGGGUAAUGGCCUACCAAGCCUACGAUCUAUAGCUGGUUUGAGAGGAUGAUCAGCCACACUGGGACUGAGACACGGCCCAGACUCCUACGGGAGGCAGCAGUAGGGAAUCUUAGACAAUGGGGGAAACCCUGAUCUAGCCAUGCCGCGUGUGUGAUGAAGGCCUUAGGGUCGUAAAGCACUUUCGCCAGAGAUGAUAAUGACAGUAUCUGGUAAAGAAACCCCGGCUAACUCCGUGCCAGCAGCCGCGGUAAUACGGAGGGGGUUAGCGUUGUUCGGAAUUACUGGGCGUAAAGCGCACGUAGGCGGAUUAGUAAGUUA
rnacentral:rRNA from 1 species